rnacentral:rRNA from 1 species
CCUACGGGAGGCAGCAGUAGGGGAUAUUGCACAAUGGGGGGAACCCUGAUGCAGCGACGCCGCGUGGGGGAAGAAGCGCCUCGGCGCGUAAAGCGCUGUCAUAAGGGAGGAAAAUGACGGUACCUGAAGAAGAAGCACCGGCUAACUACGUGCCAGCAGCCGCGGUAAUACGUAGGGGGCAAGCGUUAUCCGGAUUUACUGGGUGUAAAGGGGGCGCAGACGGCGAUGCAAGCCAGGAGGGAAAGCCCGGGGACAAACCCAGGGACUGCUCUGGGAACUGCGUGGCUGGAGUGCAGGAGGGGCAGGUGGAAUUUCUGGUGUAGCGGUGAAAUGCGUAGAUAUUAGAAGGAACACCGGUGGCGAAGGCGGCUUGCUGGAACGCAACUGACGUUGAGGCCCGAAAGCGUGGGGAGCAAACAGGAUUAGAUACCCUAGUAGUC